rnacentral:misc_RNA from 1 species
GAUGAAGAACGUAGCGAAAUGCGAUAAGUAGUUGAAUUGCAGAAUUCAGUGAAUCAUCGAAUCUUUGAACGCACAUUGCGCCCCUUGGUAUUCCAUGGGGCAUGCCUGUUCGAGCGUCAUUUGUACCUUCAAGCUCUGCUUGGUGUUGGGUGUUUGUCUCGCCUCUGCGUGUAGACUCGCCUCAAAACAAUUGGCAGCCGGCGUAUUGAUUUCGGAGCGCAGUACAUCUCGCGCUUUGCACUCAUAACGACGACGUCCAAAAGUACAUUUUUACACUCUUGACCUCGGAUCAGGUAGGGAUACCCGCUGAACUUAAGCAUAUCAAUAAGCGGAGGA